UUUACUAUUUAUUUUUAAUUAUCAUUGACUUUAAAAAAAAAGUAAUUCAAACGAAGGUUAGAUGAUACAUUGACUAUGUAUAAAUCUUUACACUGUAAAUGCAUACAUAUUAUUCUUUUUGAAUAAUGAGUAUAUGCUAUUCAUUUAGGUAUAUAUAUUCUUUACUACAUUUAUAUUAUAAAACUUUUUUUAAAAUAUAAAUCUUUACACUAUCAUAUUAUACUCUAUGCAUAAUGGGUAUAUGUAUUCAUUUAGGUAUAUAUAUUCUUUACUACAUUUGUUAUUAUAAGAUGGAACCAAUUGUACAAUAUGGUGAAUUCAGUAUCUGAUACCUAAAGUUAAGAAGAUAAUCCCAUAAGUAUAGAUUUGAUUGCCAAAAAUACACGCCUAAUAUAAAAUUAUGUCUCCUAAACAGAAAAUUUUCUGUCUGAAAUUCUGCAACACUACAUGUCACGGAAAACUACAAUUAGUGAGAAUAUGAAGAACAAAAAUCAUAAAAAAAUCAGGGUAGAUGAUAAACUAUUUAAUUGGUAUAUUAUAUAUUAGCAUUUUAUAUAUUAUACUACAAAAUUAGCAGCCCAUCUAAUUAAACAAAAAUGUUCAAUUAUAUGCAUUUAUGUUCCACCAUGUUUGAAAGUGAUAUUGGUAUUGUACUAGGAAAUACAGAUAGAACUUUUAUAUGAUAUCUACGUUGAGUGUAUAAUGUUUCCAAUUGCGUGAUUUGUCAAACUAUCAAAAAGAGUUGCACAGUGGAAAUAUGUUUGUAAUUAAUCACCUAAUAGCAUUUCAC
rnacentral:lncRNA from 1 species